UACAAAGGGUCGCAAACCUGUGAAGGGGAGCUAAUCCCAAAAAGCCGUCCUCAGUUCGGAUCGGAGUCUGCAACUCGACUCCGUGAAGUUGGAAUCGCUAGUAAUCGUGGAUCAGCAUGCCACGGUCGAAUACGUUCCGGGCCUU
rnacentral:rRNA from 1 species